rnacentral:rRNA from 1 species
UACGGGGGGGGCAAGCGUUGUUCGGAAUUACUGGGCGUAAAGGGCUCGUAGGCGGCCAACUAAGUCGGAUGUGAAAUCCCCAGGCUUAACCUGGGAACUGCAUCCGAUACUGGACGGCUUGAAUCCGGGAGAGGGAUGCAGAAUUCCAGGUGUAGCGGUGAAAUGCGUAGAUAUCUGGAGGAAUACCGGUGGCGAAGGCGGAUCUCUGGGCAACAACUGACGCUGAGGAGCGAAAGCGUGGGGAGCGAACAGG